CGAACGCUGGCGGCGUGCUAACACAUGCAAGUCGAACGCGAAAGGGACUUCGGUCCUGAGUAAAGUGGCGCACGGGUGAGUAACGCGUAGAUAACCUGUCUUCAUGUCUGGAAUAAUACGCCGAAAGGGGUACUAAUACCGGAUAUUCUUGCUUUUCAUAAGUUAUGCAAGCAAAGGUGGCCUCUGCAUAUGCUACUGCAUGAAGAGGGGUCUGCGUACCAUUAGCUAGUAGGUGGGGUAAUGGCCUACCUAGGCGACGAUGGUUAGCGGGUCUGAGAGGAUGAUCCGCCACACUGGCACUGGAACACGGGCCAGACUCCUACGGGAGGCAGCAGUGAGGAAUAUUGCGCAAUGGGGGAAACCCUGACGCAGCGACGCCGCGUGAGUGAGGAAAGGCCUUCGGGUCGUAAAGCUCUGUCAAGAGGAAAGAAGUGUACAAUGGCUAAUACCUGUUGUAUUUGACGGUACCUCUAAAGGAAGCACCGGCUAACUCCGUGCCAGCAGCAGC
rnacentral:rRNA from 1 species